GUAUAUUAAAGUUGUUGCGGUUAAAAAGCUCGUAGUUGGAUUUCUGUCGAGGGCGGUCGGUCCGCACUAUGUGCGUGUAUCUGAUUCGGUCUUGGCAUCCUCUUGGGGAACGUUUCUGUGCUUGAUUGCAUGGGGCGGAAUUCAAGACUUUUACUUUGAGGAAAUUAGAGUGUUCACGGCAAGCUAUCGCUUUGAAUACAUUAGCAUGGAAUAAUAAUAUAGGGCAUAAGUCUUAUUUUGUUGGUUUCUAGGACAUAUGCAAUGAUUAAUAGGGACAAUUGGGGGCAUUCGUAUUAACACGUCAGAGGUGGAAUUCUUAGAUUGUGUUACGACGCACUACUGCGAAAGCAUUUGCCAAGGAUGUUUUCAUUGAUCAAGAACGAAAGUAUGGGGAUCGAAGACGAUUAGAUACCGUCGUAGUCUAUACCAUAAACUAUGCCAAUUAGAGAUUGGAGGUCGUUCGUUUUAUGACUCCUUCAGCACCUUAUGAGAAAUCAAAAUUUUUGGGUUCCGGGGGGAGUAUGGUCGCAAGGCUGAAACUUAAA
rnacentral:rRNA from 1 species